GACGAACGCUGGCGGCGUGCUUAACACAUGCAAGUCGAGCGGUAAGGCCUCUUCGGGGGUACACGAGCGGCGAACGGGUGAGUAACACGUGGGUGACCUGCCCUCAGCUCUGCGAUAAGCCUGGGAAACUGGGUCUAAUACCGGAUAUGACCUUUCCUCGCAUGGGGUUUGGUGGAAAGUUUUUUCGGCUGGGGAUGGGCCCGCGGCCUAUCAGCUUGUUGGUGGGGUGAUGGCCUACCAAGGCGACGACGGGUAGCCGGCCUGAGAGGGCGACCGGCCACACUGGGACUGAGACACGGCCCAGACUCCUACGGGAGGCAGCAGUGGGGAAUAUUGCGCAAUGGGCGGAAGCCUGACGCAGCGACGCCGCGUGGGGGAUGACGGCCUUCGGGUUGUAAACCUCUUUCGACCCCGACGAAUUUGGACGGUAGGGGUAGAAGAAGCACCGGCCAACUACGUG
rnacentral:rRNA from 1 species